CCCAUUUGCCUGAUUUUAUCAUGGAUGAUUCAUCCAUGGCUUUCACCACUGACCUCUCCCAGGGCCUGCCGAUAAUUUCAGGGACUCUUGGGAAUGCUCCUGUUUUAUUUGUGACCCCUGCCAGGAGCUAGUUUCUUCAGAGCCUUGGCCUGGCCCGGGAGCCCCGGGGUGGCACGCCUUGCAGGAGGGGGCAGCCAGGGACAGGGAGCAGCAGGAUUGCUAGCGGUGUGUUUCUGGUCGUGCAUCUCCAGACUUCUGCAUUUCUGUGGCAGCAGCCCAGCCCGAGGCUCAGGGUGAGGAGGCAUGCCUGGGCAUGUCUGGUGGGGCAGGCUGGUGAGGACGCCACUUGCAUGAAGACAGCAGGAUCCCUGGAGCCGAGACUGGACUCGGAGGCGUGAGAAUGACCUUUCCUGUCUGGCGAAAGCCUGUUCUUCCAAGAGCCAGUUCAGAGGGCACUACCCUGAGGAUGAAGCCUUUCCUGACUCUCCAGACACGGUUAAUGACUUCCUCUGUGAGGUUCCUUGGAGCUGCUCUUCCCUCUGCUCAUUGCAUCAAUCUAUGGAUCAUGGUUGUUCUCAUAGCAGCCUUGGCUAGAUUAUGAGCCGCUUGAGAACAGCGCCCUUGUCUAGCCAUCUUUAUACCCCACCACCCGGUGUGAUGUCUGGCAUACAGCAUGUGAUGAGCUGAAUUGUGUCCCCCCAAAUUCAUGUGUUGAAGCUGCAACCUCCAGUGCCUCAGAAUAUGACUGUAUUCAGAGAAAGGGCCUUUAAGGAGGUGAUCAGUUUAAAAGGAGCCCGCUAGGGUGGGCCCUAAUCUAACCUGAGUGGUGUCCUUAUAAGAAGAGAAAAUUUGCAUCACAAGAGACAUCAGGGAUGUGUGGGUACAGAGGAAAGACCGUGUGAGGAUUCAAGGAGAAGGUGGCCAUCAGCAAGGCGAGGAGGGAGGCCUCAGGAGAAACCAGCCCUGCUGACACUUUGAUCUUGAACUUCCAGUCUCCUGAGCUGCAAGAAUGCUUGGCUCAGAGUCUUCUUCAUCCAUAUGGCUUCUGCAGGCCAAGGCUUUCCACGGCUGGUGCCUGCUGCAUCUCAGUUCCAGAAUUCCGGGCUGGACUUCUCCCUAAUCAAGAGUGGACUGUGGCAGACCUACUCUCUCUGCCUGGAAGGUUCACUACAAUAUGUGGGCACCUAGAUACAUCAUAGCAAAAAUGCAAGUUCCUAUAGCUCCAUAUCUAGAGUUCUUGGUGAAGUCUAACUUUAAUACUGGAAAACUUCAGGGCCCUGAACUUUGCAUGCACAUUUUGCUGGCGUGUGAUGUAUCAAAUCCUGGAAGUCACCACGCUAGGCGGCUUUUCCCCCCAGCUUGGACAAUUGACAGUCACAGAUGGGACAUGUGCCUGUGUGGCGAGGCUACUGGGCAAUUCUCAGAGUGUCUACUCUACACCUUUCUCUCUGUCUCACAAAGCACAAGGAAAUCUUCACACCUCAUUGAAAAUCCAAGCGAAUGAGCAUGAUGUGAAUAUAGGGGUAACUUGGAAUUUAAAGACCACAACUAAAAGAGAAGAGUAAAUCGUUAGCAAAGUUCAGUUAUUAGCAAUAAUUACAACAAAUUACUACUCAAUAGAACCUAAGACUUCGAUGCCACGCACCUGGAAGACGGCAUUGCAAUUUCGCGUGGCUGGUUUUAAAUGCAGAACAAUGGAAGCUGAUGACAUACUGACAGAGAUGCCACUGUUCUAUGGAAAAGGUCUUUGACAUCCUCGGGGCUUUACAUCAGGUGUAUCUGAAAUGCUGCUGCGUAGGUUUGCCUCACUGCAUGUGGCGGGGGGUGGGCGGGGGGGAGGCACAGAGAGGGAGGAGCCUCCUUUCUGUGAGCCAGGGGCUUCCCCCUCUGUACACACACAGAAGGAGCAUCUAUCGCAGUAGCUCCAAAUUGCAGUCUGGUCUCUGGGUCCCCUCAUCCCUGAUUGACACUCCCCUUGGCUCGCUGGUCUGCGCUGCGUGUCCUAUCAGGUCACAGCCCUACCCCAGGUUUUGAGGCUGAUCUUCAGGGUACCCUUAAAAUCUGUCUUCUGGCCACUACCCUGUUUAUAGACACAAGCCUUCAGCUUUCCGCUCAGCCUCACUAGCUACUCAUUAGCAGCUGUGUUUCUUUUUCAAAUAUAACCUUUAUGCUUGGGUCGUAAUGUGGAAAAGAUGCUGGCAAAUUGAAUUUUCGUAAAUCAAAUAAUUUUGAUUGCUCUGGGAGCUCAUUAUUUAAGAAAUCCUAUAGUGAGUUCUUUUGUAAAUUGAGUCAUCAGCCCUCUGUUUUAAAAAUUCAAAUUUUAAUAUAUUAUCUUGCCUGAGGGGGAUGAGUCCAUGCAUAUUAAAAAAUUAAAAGGAUGCAAAGAAAAGAUUGAGUCUUCAGUGCUCCCCCUCUAUAUUUAAACAGUGGUAUAUAAUCACAAUUAUCUAGCUCACAAGCAAUUACGCUAAGUAUUAAUGAAGGGACCCUAGUCAAAAACCACCCACGGGAAGCUUCUGCCCGAACGUCAGGGUUAAUGGCCCUGCCAUUGUUUUAAUGGAUUUUCAAUGAGGUGUAAAGAUGCCAGGCCAAGAAGGGUGAAGUUUUAUGAUGCAGCUAAACAAGCACGAUUAGCGUCUUGCCAUUAGUAUCUUGACCUCGUUUCUGUUUUCGUUUCUUUACAAUUCUGGUGAACUGAGUCCCUGGAGGCUUAUUUAUUAAUUUAUGUUUAACACAAUUCAUAGAGGCUUUGUUAACUCCAAGUACAGCUCUCAGGGUGUUAAUAAAGCUCCCUCCCUAGGGCUGUUUCAGUGGAGAGCCUGAGGUCCAUGGACUCUAAUGACCCGCCCAUUUCUGCUCUCCAUCAUUUCUUUCCAGGCGCUCUGGCCCUCUAGAUGCCCAGCCACCCAGCCUUGUCAUCUGGAGUGACCAGACCCUCUCUGGGAGGUGUGUGGCUGGUGGUUACGAACUCAGCCUCAAACCAAACCAUGUGGGUUUAUUUCCUGCCUUGACCAGCUCUGAGUCCACAUCCCUGAGCCCAGACCCUGUGCUAAACUUGCCUUGACUCCGCCCCUUGCACUUCUGGGGACUCAAAUUUUGUUCCUGAGCUCUAUUUCCUUGCUGAAUCCCCUCUCUCAGAAAGCCUGCCUGAACCCCUUAUUUCUUGUUUAGAAAAUUUGUCUCCUAACCUAGGAGUUGGCAAACCAUGGCCUGUGAGCCAUAUCUGGCCCACCGCCUGUUCUUGUAAAUAAAGUUUUAUUGCGACACAGCCAUUCUCAUGCAUUUACACAUGGUCUGUGGCUGCUUUCCUGGCACAACAGCAGCUGAGUAGUUGUGACAGAGGAAAUAUGGCCCUCCAGUCUAAAACAUUCACUAUCUGGCCCUUGACUGAAAAAGUUUAGUGUUCCUUGUCAGUGUGGGUUGAAUUAUGUCCUCUGAAAAAGAUGUGUUGAAUCUCCAGUACCUCAGCAUGUGGCCUUGUUUGGAAAUAGCAUUGUUAUAGAAGUAAUCACAUUAAAAUGAGGUCAUGAGGGUGAGCCCAAAUCCGAUAUGACUACUGUCCCUAUAAAAAUGGGAAAUUUGGACACAGAGUGUAUUAGCUAUGUUUUCUUAUUUUCUGCAUUUUUGAUGCUCUGGCAUCUGGGGCUUUGGUGACUGGAGUGGGACUGCCCCUCCCAGGGCUAGCCAGUCCCUAGAGAUAGCAAAUGACUUGCACAGAACCACGCCCUUCAUGCAUCCUCACCCAUCUGGGGCCCAUUCUCCAAACCACCUCCUCUGUCUGGCUCUUACGCUCCAGGAGGCAAUGGCAAUAUUCCUAAUCACCCAAGGGCAGUAUGGGACCACUAGGAGCACCCCCACAGCCCAGAGCCUGCUGACAUUAUUCAACCCAUCCAAUCCGAAACCUGCUCAGCUUGCGCACCUUGUUUUCCUCCUUCCUUCCCAUGAAAACCACAAUAAGGACUCCUGCCCACACUUUCUCCUCGCUCCUUCUGCCUCUUCAUCAGCGCUGCUGCUUCCCUGUGUGGCCCUGCGUGGCAUGCUGUGCCCCCUCCUCGUGGGAACUAUGAGUAACAAACUAUCUUUUCAAAGACAAUCGUCUCCUGAUCUGUUGGUCUCACCAUACCUGAAUAAAACCAAAAUCACAGACACAUUUCAAAACACAGAGACAGAGACACUCAGAGGGAAAGUAACAUAAAGACAUAGAGAAAGCGCCAUGUGAAGACGGAAGAGUGAAGUGAUGUAUCUGUAAGCCAAAGAACACUCAAGGCUACCAGAAGCUGGAAGAAAAGCGUGGAACAGUUCCUUCCCUAGCACCUUCAGAGGGAGCACGGCCCUGCCAACACCUUGAUUUUGGACUUCUGGCCUCUGGAAUGUGAGACAAUAAAUUUCUGUUGUUUGAAGCCACUAAGUUUGUAGUAUUUUGUUAUGGCAGCCUAGGAGGCCAAUACACCACCUAACCAAUUA
rnacentral:lncRNA from 1 species